rnacentral:rRNA from 1 species
UACGUAGGGGGCGAGCGUUACCCGGAUUUACUGGGCGUAAAGAGCGCGCAGGCGGUCGUGCAAGUCGCGUGUGAAAGCCCCCGGCUCAACUGGGGAGGGUCACGCGAUACUGCUCGACUCGAAGGCAGGAGAGGGAAGUGGAAUUCCCGGUGUAGUGGUGGAAUGCGUAGAUAUCGGGAGGAACACCAGUGGCGAAGGCGGUUGCAUGGAGCUUUGCUGACGCUGAUGCGCGAAAGCGUGGGGAGCGAUCCGG